AAAAAUGUUCAAUCGUUCAAUGGGGAACGUUUUAUUUCAAAGUAUCUUCUAUUUAUCGGUUAUAUUCAAAAUGCUCUAACUGUCAAUUUUCAUACAAUUUUUACAAUUGUAAGAAGUUUAAGCUCCGGUCACCAACGACCACCGUGGCGUUCAAUGAGAUCAACGAGAUC